rnacentral:snRNA from 1 species
CUAUUUCCCUGGCAGGGGAAAUACCAUGACCACUAAGGUGGUUUUCCUACUGGCAGGGGAAAACCAGGGAGUAGUACCCUGAGUACAUUUCAUAGUUUCAUAGUUUCUAGGGUCAGAAGGGACCUGAGC